GAUAAACGCUAGCGGCAGGCUUAACACAUGCAAGUCGAGGGGCAGCAUAGAUUGUAGCAAUACAAUUGGUGGCGACCGGCGCACGGGUGCGUAACGCGUAUGCAACCUACCCGUCACAGGGGGAUAAUCCGGAGAAAUCUGGUCUAAUACCCCAUAACAUAUGGAUCGGCAUCGGUUCAUGUUGAAAUUUUCGGAGGUGACGGAUGGGCAUGCGUAGCAUUAGCUUGUUGGUGAGGUAACGGCUCACCAAGGCGACGAUGCUUAGGGGGACUGAGAGGUUUUCCCCCCACACUGGUACUGUGACACGGACCAGACUCCUACGGGAGGCAGCAGUGAGGAAUAUUGGUAAAUGGGCGCAAGCCUGAACCAGCCAUGCCGCGUGCAGGAUGACGGCUCUAUGAGUUGUAAACUGCUUUUGUACGAGGGUAAAGUGGGUUACGUGUAACCUUUUGAAAGUAUCGUACGAAUAAGGAUCGGCUAACUCCGUGCCAGCCGCCGCCGAAA
rnacentral:rRNA from 1 species